UGAUCCUGCCGGAGGCCACUGCUAUCGGAGUACGACUUAGCCAUGCGAGUCACAGGGGCGCAAGCCACUGGCAGACGGCUCAGUAACACGUAGGUAACCUACCCUCCGGACGGGCACAACCCCGGGAAACUGGGGCUAAUUCCCGAUAGGUACCCCCUUCUGGAAUGUGGGGAUAUCCAAAGCUCCGGCGCCGAAGGAUGGGCCUGCGGCCGAUUAGGUUGUUGGCGGGGUAACAGCCCACCAAGCCGACGAUCGGUACGGGCAGUGAGAGCUGUAGCCCGGAGAUGGGGACUGAGACAAGGCCCCAGGCCCUACGGGGCGCAGCAGGCGCGAAACCUUCACAAUGCACGAAAGUGUGAUGAGGGUACUCCGAGUGCGCAUACAUUGUAUGUGCUUUUCUGCAGCGUAAAUAGUUGCAGGAAUAAGGGCUGGGCAAGACCGGUGCCAGCCGCCGCGCUAACACCGGCAGCCCUAGUGGUGGCCGCUUUUAUUGGGCCUAAAGCGUCCGUAGCCGGACAGGCGAGUCUUUGGGUAAAUCCUACGUCUUAAGCGUGGGAAUUCUAAAGAUACUACCUGUCUUGAGGCCGGGAGAGGCUGGAG
rnacentral:rRNA from 1 species